CUUUUAGAAGGAGCUGUCAGCACUGGAGCAGGGAUAGACUUUCUUCAGAGUGGGACAGAUGCAGAGACUGAGGAGAAACACACUGUGUUGCAUGGAAUUAGCAGGACAGAAGAGAAAGCACCAUCCACUGACCUGCAGGCUGCUGACAUGUUGCCAUGCUAAUGCUUGCAGGAUUGUAACAACCCCACAAGACAUCCUGGCAAUGCAUCCCACCACUACAGCCUGCUUGCCUUGCUCAGCAGAACAAACUGAUGGACAGUAACCACUUCUUGGAUGGCUCACUCCAGGCCAAGUCAGCUAAGCUCCACGCUGGCAUAGCUUGUCAUUUCCAGCAGACGAGAUCAUGUGAACUGCUGCUCAUUUCCACUAGAAAGAGGAUUGGACACAAACACAAGCAGCAAAAUCAGAAUUACCUGAUUCUCAAUUAAAUCCAUGUUUUUCUUUAAAAAAUGAUAAGUUACUUCAUUCUAAAUACCAUUUAAAAGACUGUCUUCUACUGAAGGAAAAAUAGUAAAAAAAAAAAAAAAAAAAAUUUAUUUGCUACCUACAUUUCAAGCAGCAGUGAUGCCAUUACUACGAUAACUGAAGGAUAUAAGCAACACAAAAUUUUGCACAAGGAAGCUGUACCUUCUUAGUGAUGUACUUAGAAGACAACACAAGGCCCUCUUCAGACUUGAAAUAUAAGUCGUGAGCUUCAAGCUGAUACCCAUCAGGAACAGCUGUUCUGAAUUAAACUUACCUAUCUUCAUUAAGUGCACGAUCCUAAUCUGUCUAGCACCUGUGCCUGAAACAGGUUUAACGUAGUUUUAAUAGUCUUUCCUUCUUUUCUUCUGUACUUUUUAAAAGAGGUGGAAAGGUAUUUAAGGGCAGUUAUUUACCAUAGGACUAAGUAGGUAAAGAUAUCAGCUCUAGAAUCAUUCAGUCUUACUGUAAUGCCCUAUGUAUAACAACCUUGAUUUCAGCUACUGAGGCUUAUUUGGCUCGUACAAAUUAACAUGUGGACUUCCAGAAAAAAUCUGAAGUCUUACAUAAAUAGAGGACCUAAGCUGAUGCAUCUACCUUAGGAAUGGCUUGAAGAAAACUAUAUGCCAGACUGCUGUUUGGUACAGCAUGCUAUUGUAAACUUCAGCUCCCAGAGUGGAUAUCUAAGGUUUAGCAAAAGGUUCAGUUUUCCUCCUGUGAAUUUCAGUAUCAAAACUUCCAUUGUUCUUGACUAUAGCAAUAUUGUCUGGCCUGGCAAGUAGGCUAGUAUUCGAGCAGAUGACUCUCCUCGCCUACAUUUUUUUCUGUGAAUUUUCAAUCAGAACGACUACAACAAGAAGGAAACAGCACAGGCAUCAUCUUUCUAGCAGUCCAUAAACUGCCAAGUAAAAUAGGAGGAGAGUUAAGGAGGAAAUAAAGCCCUCUGAGGAAGGAGAUGGAGGGGACUGAGCAAUUCUCCGAAGACGUAUUUUUAUUGAAGUACAGAGUUAUUGAUACAGUCUGGAGCAACAGAAUACAUAUGUGCUGUCUAUGAAAUAAAGUGAUCCUUUGAAGGGAUUUCUCUGCUGUAUCCAGUGCAGAAGAUAAAUUGAAACAGAUGCAAAAAGUUCCUUUUUGCUCCACCUCAACUAUGUAAUUAUGACAUUACUGAAACAAGUAUUUAUAUCCACGUUUUUGACUGAAAAGUUUCAGAUUUUUUUUUUAAUUGGACUUUAUAAAGCAUAUUUUCUUCGUGGUAUUACAUUCCUCCUCCUUUCCUCACUUUUCUUUCUUUGUCUGUAUUAUUUUCCCUGG
ensembl:lncRNA